CCUACGGGAGGCAGCAGUGGGGGAUAUUGCACAAUGGGGGGAACCCUGAUGCAGCGACGCCGCGUGGGUGAAGGAGUGCUUCGGCAUGUAAAGCCCUUUCGGCAUGGAAGUAGCAAGACGUUACCUGACUAAGAAGCCCCGGCUAACUACGUGCCAGCAGCCGCGGUAAUACGUAGGGGGCGAGCGUUAUCCGGAUGCACUGGGUGUAAAGGGAGCGCAGACGGCAUUGCAAGUCUGGAGUGAAAGCCCGGGGCCGAACCCCGGAACUGCUUUGGAAACUGUGCGGCUAGAGUACUGGAGGGGCAGGCGGAAUACAUGGUGUAGCGGUGAAAUGCGUAGAUAUUAGGAGGAACACCAGUGGCGAAGGCAGCCUGCUGGACAGUAACUGACGUUGAGGCUCGAAAGCGUGGGGAGCAAACAGGAUUAGAUACCCCAGUAGUC
rnacentral:rRNA from 1 species